rnacentral:rRNA from 1 species
GAUGAACGCUGGCGGCGUGCCUAAUACAUGCAAGUCGAGCGAGGUUCUUCGGAACCUAGCGGCGGACGGGUGAGUAACACGUGGGUAACCUGCCUGUAAGACUGGGAUAACUUCGGGAAACCGAAGCUAAUACCGGAUAAUUUUGAGCAUCGCAUGAUGCUUGAUGGAAAGGCGGCUUCGGCUGUCACUUACAGAUGGACCCGCGUCGCAUUAGCUAGUUGGUGAGGUAACGGCUCACCAAGGCGACGAUGCGUAGCCGACCUGAGAGGGUGAUCGGCCACACUGGGACUGAGACACGGCCCAGACUCCUACGGGAGGCAGCAGUAGGGAAUCUUCGGCAAUGGGCGAAAGCCUGACCGGGCAACGCCGCGUGAGCGAUGAAGGCCUUCGGGUCGCAAAGCUCUGUUGUUAAGGAAGAACAAGUACGAGAGUAACUGCUCGUACCUUGACGGUACUUAACGAGAAAGCCACGGCUAACUACGUGCCAGCAGCCGCCGUAA